UAUCUGUCAGUCCCACCUCGUCGUUCGCUUUCUCGUUCCAGCAACCCAUAGCACGCUUGUAGUUGGUCUUCUUCGCUCUCCCCACACGCCUCGUCUCGUUCCCUCUCGCACAACAACUGCACCUUACUCGGUCCGAAAAUGAUGCGCCGCGCCAUUGCUCAGCCCGUCGCCCGUCGCGCGGCGGCCGCCUCCAGUGCGCUCGUGGUUGCCCCUCGCCAGGCCUCCACUGUCGCCCUCUCCGUCCAGGGCCUGCACUACGUUGGCACCGGUCUCGCCGCCAUCGCCCUCGGUGGUGUUGGCUUGGGUAUCGGUGCCAUCUUUGGCUGCCUGCUGAUAGGCUGCGCUCGCCAGCCCAACCUGACCAAGAUGCUCUUCAACUACGCCAUUCUCGGCUUCGCCCUGACGGAGGCCAUUGGCCUGUUCGCGCUGAUGCUCGCCUUCCUCAUGCUCUUCUCGUAGAGUUGUCGACGUGCAUGUUACGAUGGCGCUAUGGCGCCUCUGUGUGCCGUCCGCUUCAUGUCCCCGCAGCCCCUUAGAGGGGCCGAACUGUGUCGUGGAGGGGUGCAUGGCGGCGUGACAGGGGCCUCGCAUUCACGUGCGUUGCGCUGGGUGCCGGGUUCCUCAUAGCAGCGAAGCGGUGGCGAAGCGUGCCACGCAUACGAAGUAAAACAACGGAAAUGAGGGCGACGCAAAAGGUGGAGGACGGCGCGGUGCGCACAACGCCCCCGACAAGACGCGUUCUUCGCGCCCCAACCCUCCCCAGCAGACGACUCUUUAUGCUGAGGAGUGGCGGAGGAGGGGGCCGGACCGCGGCAGCCGCGGCGGCGACAUCCAUGUUAGGACACCGUCACCAGCCGAUCCGAAAUGGCCCUUAACAAAAAACGGAAAAGUAAAAGGAAAUAACGGGAGCACCAAAACGCACGGAAGCGCGACGUACGACGACGUGCGUGCGGUGUCGUAGUGACCUUAGUGGAGCGUCCUUGGCGUUGUUUUCUCUCUCCCCCUUUCUUUCUGUGUCUCGCCCUCGCUGCCUGACUGGCUGUGCGUCUCUUCACCGCCCUUCCUCAUGCGAAGCGGCGAGGUGGCCACGCACCCCACCCUCCCCACACAGGUGUGUGUGUGUGUGUGGCCGAAGGGGGAAUAAAGAAAGGCAUGAGAGAGCGAAACGCGAUUGUCAGAGGGGAGGCGACGGGCGCCUCCGUGGACGGCACUCGCCGCCCUGCCGCCGCGCUCGGGAAGCACAACGGGAUUAACGAAGCAGCCAAAUGGAAAGGUGCCUCCCGAAAGAAGCGGAAAGGGCAGCAGCACCAGC
rnacentral:misc_RNA from 1 species